GAUACCAGGGUCAAAAGUUCAUAAAUCCGAUGCAAGCUUGCUUGCAGGAGGAUAUUUGAACUUGGGACCCGCCAAAAACAUGAGUAAGAAGCCAUUUUUUGAAAAAAUGAGCGUAUUACGAAUGUUUUUAGAAUUGCGGGAGUGCAAAGCACGUAGCAAUUCGGU
rnacentral:sRNA from 1 species